rnacentral:tRNA from 1 species
GGGGAUAUAACUCUGUUGGUAGAGUGCCUGCCUUGCAUGCACAAGGCCCUGGGUUCAAUUCCCAGUACCUCA